rnacentral:rRNA from 1 species
GACGAACGCUGGCGGCGUGCCUAAUACAUGCAAGUCGAGCGGACCGACGGGAGCUUGCUCCCUUAGGUCAGCGGCGGACGGGUGAGUAACACGUGGGUAACCUGCCUGUAAGACUGGGAUAACUCCGGGAAACCGGGGCUAAUACCGGAUGCUUGAUUGAACCGCAUGGUUCAAUCAUAAAAGGUGGCUUUUAGCUACCACUUACAGAUGGACCCGCGGCGCAUUAGCUAGUUGGUGAGGUAACGGCUCACCAAGGCGACGAUGCGUAGCCGACCUGAGAGGGUGAUCGGCCACACUGGGACUGAGACACGGCCCAGACUCCUACGGGAGGCAGCAGUAGGGAAUCUUCCGCAAUGGACGAAAGUCUGACGGAGCAACGCCGCGUGAGUGAUGAAGGUUUUCGGAUCGUAAAACUCUGUUGUUAGGGAAGAACAAGUACCGUUCGAAUAGGGCGGCACCUUGACGGUACCUAACCAGAAAGCCAUGGCUAACUACGUGCCAGCAGCCGCGGUAAUAUGUAGGUGGCAAGCGUUGUCCGGAAUUAUUGGGCGUAAAGCGCGCGCAGGCGGUUUCUUAAGUCUGAUGUGAAAGCCCCCGGCUCAACCGGGGAGGGUCAUUGGAAACUGGGGAACUUGAGUGCAGAAGAGGAGAGUGGAAUUCCACGUGUAGCGGUGAAAUGCGUAGAGAUGUGGAGGAACACCAGUGGCGAAGGCGACUCUCUGGUCUGUAACUGACGCUGAGGCGCGAAAGCGUGGGGAGCGAACAGG